CAGGUAUAGUUUAGUGGCAGAACACCAGCUUCCCAAGCUGGUCGUGACGGUUCGAUUCCGUUUACCUG
rnacentral:tRNA from 1 species